GUAAACGAUGAGUGCUAAGUGUUGGAGGGUUCCCCUUCAGUGCUGCAGCAAACGCAUUAAGCACUCCGCUGGGGAGUACGACCGCAAGGUUGAAACUCAAAGGAAUUGACGGGGGCCCGCACAGCGGUGGAGCAUGUGGUUUAAUUCGAAGCAACGCGAAGAACCUUACCAGGUCUUGACAUCCUUUGACCACUCUAGAGAUAGAGCUUUCCCUUCGGGGACAAAGUGACAGGUGGUGCAUGGUUGUCGUCAGCUCGUGUCGUGAGAUGUUGGGUUAAGUCCCGCAACGAGCGCAACCCUUAUUGUUAGUUGCCAUCAUUUAGUUGGGCACUCUAGCGAGACUGCCGGUGACAAACCGGAGGAAGGUGGGGAUGACGUCAAAUCAUCAUGCCCCUUAUGACCUGGGCUACACACGUGCUACAAUGGGAAGUACAACGAGUCGCUAGGCCGCGAGGUCAUGCAAAUCUCUUAAAGCUUCUCUCAGUUCGGAUUGUAGGCUGCAACUCGCCUACAUGAAGCCGGAAUCGCUAGUAAUUGCGGAUCAGCACGCCGCGGUGAAUACGUUCCCGGGCCUUGUACACACCGCCCGUCACACCACGAAAGUUUGUAACACCCGAAGUCGGUGAGGUAACCUUUUGGAGCCAGCCGCCUAAGGUGGGAUAGAUGAUUGGGGUGAAGUCGUAACAAGGUAACCA
rnacentral:rRNA from 1 species